rnacentral:misc_RNA from 1 species
GAUGAGAACGUAGCGAAAUGCGAUACUUGGUGUGAAUUGCAGAAUCCCGUGAACCAUCGAGUCUUUGAACGCAAGUUGCGCCCGAAGCCAUUAGGCCGAGGGCACGCCUGCCUGGGCGUCACACGUCGUUGCCCCCCCAUCUACUCCUUCGGGAUUGCGGGGGGCGGAUGAUGGCCUCCCGUGCGCCUCGUCGCGCGGUUGGCAUAAAUGCCAAGUCCUCGGCGACGCACGCCACGACAAUCGGUGGUUGCGAAACCUCGGUUGCCCGUCGUGUGCGGUCGUCGCGCAUCGAGGGCUCGAAAAAAUUGUCGGGCUCCGGCUCGGCUUUCAACGCGACCCCAGGUCAGGCGGGGUUACCCGCUGAAUUUAAGCAUAUCAAUAAGCGGAGGA